rnacentral:rRNA from 1 species
AGUGAACGCUGGCGGUAGGCCUAACACAUGCAAGUCGAACGGCAGCACAGGAGAGCUUGCUCUCUGGGUGGCGAGUGGCGGACGGGUGAGGAAUACAUCGGAAUCUACUUUUUCGUGGGGGAUAACGUAGGGAAACUUACGCUAAUACCGCAUACGACCUACGGGUGAAAGCAGGGGAUCUUCGGACCUUGCGCGAUUGAAUGAGCCGAUGUCGGAUUAGCUAGUUGGCGGGGUAACGGCCCACCAAGGCGACGAUCCGUAGCUGGUCUGAGAGGAUGAUCAGCCACACUGGAACUGAGACACGGUCCAGACUCCUACGGGAGGCAGCAGUGGGGAAUAUUGGACAAUGGGCGCAAGCCUGAUCCAGCCAUACCGCGUGGGUGAAGAAGGCCUUCGGGUUGUAAAGCCCUUUUGUUGGGAAAGAAAUCCAGCUGGCUAAUACCCGGUUGGGAUGACGGUACCCAAAGAAUAAGCACCGGCUAACUACGUGCCAGCCGCCGCGGUAAAAC